UACGUAGGCAGCAAGCGUUGUUCGGAGUUACUGGGCGUAAAGAGUGCGUAGGCGGUCUUUUAAGUUUGGUGUGAAAUCUCCCGGCUCAACUGGGAGGGUGCGCCGAAAACUGGGAGGCUUGAGGAUGGGAGAGGCAUGCGGAAUUCCUGGUGUAGCGGUGAAAUGCGUAGAUAUCAGGAGGAACACCUGCGGUGUAGACAGCAUGCUGGACCAUUACUGACGCUGAGGCACGAAAGCGUGGGUAGCAAACAGG
rnacentral:rRNA from 1 species